AUACUUACCUGGUAGGGGAGAUACAUGAUUAUGAAGGUGGGUUUGUCAGGGUGAGACUCAUCUAUUGCAUUAUGGGUGUGCUAAUCUCUACAAUUUCCUUAAAUGUGGGAAACUUAACUGCAUAGUUUGUGGUAGUGGGGGACUGUGUUUGCACUUUCCCCUG